rnacentral:ncRNA from 1 species
GUUCCGAGCGGUCGCUCCCUCGCGAGGUGCCGCGGGUCAGCGGUUGACGCCAGCCACCUUUCCCGACCCGUCUUGAAACACGGACCAAGGAGUCUAACAUGUGCGCGAGCCGCGGGGCAGUACGAAACCCGUAAGGCGAAAUGAAGGUGAACGCCGGCGCGGUCCGGCGGAGGUUGGAUCCCGUCCCGUCGGGGCGGGCGCACUACCGGCCGUUCUUCUCCGCCCUGUCGGCGAGGUCGAGCGAGAGCGUGCAAGUCGGGACCCGAAAGAUGGUGAACUAUGCCUGAGGAGGUUGAAGCCAGAGGAAACUCUGGUGGAGGACCGUAGCGAUUCUGACGUGCAAAUCGAUCGUCAAAUUUGGGUAUAGGGGCGAAAGACUAAUCGAACCGUCUAGUAGCUGGUUCCCUUCGAAGUUUCCCUCAGGAUAGCUGGCGCUCUGUCGCAGUUUUAUCUGGUAAAGCGAAUGAUUAGAGGUCUUGGGGGCGAAACGCCCUCAACCUAUUCUCAAACUUUAAAUUGGUAAGAAGCCCGACUCGCUCGUUUGGAGCCGGGCAUGGAAUGCGAGUGCCAAGUGGGCCACUCUUGGUAAGCAGGACUGGCGAUGCGGGAUGAACCGAACGCCGGGUUAAGGCGCCCGACGCGACGCUCAUCAGAGCCCACAAAAGGUGUUGGUUGAUAUAGACAGCAGGACGGUGGCCAUGGAAGUCGGAAACCGCUAAGGAGUGUGUAAC